rnacentral:rRNA from 1 species
GGGGAAUUUUCCGCAAUGGGCGAAAGCCUGACGGAGCAAUACCGCGUGAGGGAUGACGGCCUAUGGGUUGUAAACCUCUUUUUUCAGGGAGGAAUAAAUGACGUGUACCUGAAGAAUAAGCAUCGGCUAACUC